ACCGGAAGUCGGUGAUGGAACCCGCAAGGGACCUAGCCGCCGAUGGUAUGACUGGUGACUGGGGUGAAGUCGUAACAAGGUAGCCGUAGGUGAACCUGCAGAAGGAUCA
rnacentral:rRNA from 1 species